CGGAAACGGAGCUAAUACCGGAUAAUAUUUCGAACCGCAUGGUUCGAUAGUGAAAGAUGGUUUUGCUAUCACUUAUAGAUGGACCCGCGCCGUAUUAGCUAGUUGGUAAGGUAACGGCUUACCAAGGCGACGAUACGUAGCCGACCUGAGAGGGUGAUCGGCCACACUUGGAACUGAGACACGGUCCAGACUCCUACGGGAGGCAGCAGGC
rnacentral:rRNA from 1 species